rnacentral:rRNA from 1 species
GAUGAACGCUGGCGGCGUGCCUAAUACAUGCAAGUCGAGCGAACGGACGAGAAGCUUGCUUUUCUGAUGUUAGCGGCGGACGGGAGAGUAACACGUGGAUAACCUACCUCUCAGACUGGGAUAACUUCGGGAAACCGGAGCUAAUACCGGAUAAUAUUUUGAACUGCAUGGUUCAAAAGUGAAAGGCGGUCUUGCUGUCACUUAUAGAUGGAUCAGCGCUGCAUUAGCUAGUUGGUAAGGUAGCGGCUUACCAAGGCAACGAUGCAUAGCCGACCUGAGAGCGUGAUCGGCCACACUGGAACUGAGACACGGUCCAGACUCCUACGGGGGGCAGCAGUAGGGAAUCUUCCGCGAUGGGCGAAAGCCUGACGGAGCAACGCCGCGUGAGUGAUGAAGGUCUUCGGAUCGUAAAACUCUGUUAUUAGGGAAGAACAUAUGUGUAAGUAACUGUGCACAUCUUGACGGUACCUAAUCAGAAAGCCACGGCUAACUACGUG